AUUGAACGCUGGCGACAUGCCUUACACAUGCAAGUCGAACGGCAGCACGGGUGCUUGCACCUGGUGGCGAGUGGCGAACGGGUGAGUAAUACAUCGGAACAUGUCCUGUAGUGGGGGAUAGCCCGGCGAAAGCCGGAUUAAUACCGCAUACGAUCUACGGAUGAAAGCGGGGGACCUUCGGGCCUCGCGCUAUAGGGUUGGCCGAUGGCUGAUUAGCUAGUUGGUGGGGUAAAGGCCUACCAAGGCGACGAUCAGUAGCUGGUCUGAGAGGACGACCAGCCGCACUGGGACUGAGACACGGCCCAGACUCCUACGGGAGGCAGCAGUGGGGAAUUUUGGACAAUGGGCGAAAGCCUGAUCCAGCAAUGCCGCGUGUGUGAAGAAGGCCUUCGGGUUGUAAAGCACUUUUGUCCGGAAAGAAAUCCUUGGCCCUAAUACGGUCGGGGGAUGACGGUACCGGAAGAAUAAGCACCGGCUAACUACGUG
rnacentral:rRNA from 1 species